rnacentral:misc_RNA from 1 species
GAUGAAGAACGUAGCGAAAUGCGAUACGUAAUGUGAAUUGCAGAAUUCAGUGAAUCAUCGAAUCUUUGAACGCAUAUUGCGCUCUCUGGUAUUCCGGAGAGCAUGCUUGUUUGAGUAUCAGUAAACACCUCAACUUCCAUAUCUUUUUUAAAAUGGGAGUUGGACUUGAGUGAUCCCAACGCUUUUCCUCACCGAAAAGUGGCGGGUUACUUGAAAUGCAGGUGCAGCUGGACUUUUCUCUGAGCUAUAAGCAUAUCUAUUUAGUCUGCCUAAAAAACAGAUUAUUACCUUUGCUGCAGCUAACAUAAAGGAGAUUAGUUCUUGUGCUGACUGAUGCAGGAUUCACAAAGACAGGCUUCGGCCGACUUUGUAAACUCGAUCUCAAAUCAAGUAAGACUACCCGCUGAACUUAAGCAUAUCAAUAAGCGGAGGA